rnacentral:rRNA from 1 species
UGAACGCUGGCGGCGUGCCUAAUACAUGCACGUCGAGCGAACAGAUAAGGAGCUUGCUCCUUUGACGUUAGCGGCGGACGGGUGAGUAACACGUGGGUAACCUACCUAUAAGACUGGGAUAACUUCGGGAAACCGGAGCUAAUACCGGAUAACAUUUGGAACCGCAUGGUUCUAAAGUGAAAGAUGGUUUUGCUAUCACUUAUAGAUGGACCCGCGCCGUAUUAGCUAGUUGGUAAGGUAACGGCUUACCAAGGCAACGAUACGUAGCCGACCUGAGAGGGUGAUCGGCCACACUGGAACUGAGACACGGUCCAGACUCCUACGGGAGGCAGCAGUAGGGAAUCUUCCGCAAUGGGCGAAAGCCUGACGGAGCAACGCCGCGUGAGUGAUGAAGGGUUUCGGCUCGUAAAACUCUGUUAUUAGGGAAGAACAAACGUGUAAGUAACUGUGCACGUCUUGACGGUACCUAAUCAGAAAGCCACGGCUAACUACGUG